AGAACGAACGCUGGCGGCAUGCCUAAUACAUGCAAGUCGAACGAACUCUUCGGAGUUAGUGGCGCACGGGUGCGUAACGCGUGGGAAUCUGCCCUUGGGUUCGGAAUAACAGUUGGAAACGACUGCUAAUACCGGAUGAUGACGAAAGUCCAAAGAUUUAUCGCCCAGGGAUGAGCCCGCGUAGGAUUAGCUAGUUGGUGAGGUAAAGGCUCACCAAGGCGACGAUCCUUAGCUGGUCUGAGAGGAUGAUCAGCCACACUGGGACUGAGACACGGCCCAGACUCCUACGGGAGGCAGCAGUAGGGAAUAUUGGACAAUGGGCGAAAGCCUGAUCCAGCAAUGCCGCGUGAGUGAUGAAGGCCUUAGGGUUGUAAAGCUCUUUUACCCGAGAUGAUAAUGACAGUAUCGGAGAAUAAGCCCCGGCUAACGUCCGUAGCCAGCAGCCGC
rnacentral:rRNA from 1 species